GAGUCACGAAGAGUUUGAUCCGGCUCAGGAUGAACGCUGGCGGCGUGCUUAACACAUGCAAGUCGAACGGGAUCCAUCAGGCUUUGCUUGGUGGUGAGAGUGGCGAACGGGUGAGUAAUGCGUGACCGACCUGCCCCAUACACCGGAAUAGCUCCUGGAAACGGGUGGUAAUGCCGGAUGCUCCGACUCCUCGCAUGGGGUGUCGGGAAAGAUUUCAUCGGUAUGGGAUGGGGUCGCGUCCUAUCAGGUAGUCGGCGGGGUAACGGCCCACCGAGCCUACGACGGGUAGCCGGCCUGAGAGGGCGACCGGCCACAUUGGGACUGAGAUACGGCCCAGACUCCUACGGGAGGCAGCAGUGGGGAAUAUUGCACAAUGGGCGCAAGCCUGAUGCAGCGACGCCGCGUGCGGGAUGACGGCCUUCGGGUUGUAAACCGCUUUUGAUCGGGAGCAAGCCUUCGGGUGAGUGUACCUUUCGAAUAAGCACCGGCUAACUACGUGCCAGCAGCCGCGGUAAUACGUAGGGUGCAAGCGUUAUCCGGAAUUAUUGGGCGUAAAGGGCUCGUAGGCGGUUCGUCGCGUCCGGUGUGAAAGUCCAUCGCUUAACGGUGGAUCUGCGCCGGGUACGGGCGGGCUGGAGUGCGGUAGGGGAGACUGGAAUUCCCGGUGUAACGGUGGAAUGUGUAGAUAUCGGGAAGAACACCAAUGGCGAAGGCAGGUCUCUGGGCCAGUUACUGUCGCUGAGGAGCGAAAGCGUGGGGAGCGAACAGGAUUAGAUACCCUGGUAGUCCACGCCGUAAACGGUGGAUGCUGGAUGUGGGGCCCGUUCCACGGGUUCCGUGUCGGAGCUAACGCGUUAAGCAUCCCGCCUGGGGAGUACGGCCGCAAGGCUAAAACUCAAAGAAAUUGACGGGGGCCCGCACAAGCGGCGGAGCAUGCGGAUUAAUUCGAUGCAACGCGAAGAACCUUACCUGGGCUUGACAUGUUCCCGACAGCCGUAGAGAUAUGGCCUCCCUUCGGGGCGGGUUCACAGGUGGUGCAUGGUCGUCGUCAGCUCGUGUCGUGAGAUGUUGGGUUAAGUCCCGCAACAAGCGCAACCCUCGCCCUGUGUUGCCAGCACGUCAUGGUGGGAACUCACGGGGGACCGCCGGGGUCAACUCGGAGGAAGGUGGGGAUGACGUCAGAUCAUCAUGCCCCUUACGUCCAGGGCUUCACGCAUGCUACAAUGGCCGGUACAACGGGAUGCGACACGGCGACGUGGAGCGGAUCCCUGAAAACCGGUCUCAGUUCGGAUUGGAGUCUGCAACCCGACUCCAUGAAGGCGGAGUCGCUAGUAAUCGCGGAUCAGCAACGCCGCGGUGAAUGCGUUCCCGGGCCUUGUACACACCGCCCGUCAAGUCAUGAAAGUGGGUAGCACCCGAAGCCGGUGGCCUAACCCUUUGUGGAUGGAGCCGUCUAAGGUGAGACUCGUGAUUGGGACUAAGUCGUAACAAGGUAGCCGUAG
rnacentral:rRNA from 1 species